rnacentral:rRNA from 1 species
UACGAAGGACCCGAGCGUUAUCCGGAUUUAUUGGGUUUAAAGGGUGCGUAGGCGUCUUGGAAAGUUACGGUUGAAAUCUCCUUGCUCAACAAGGAAACUGGCCGUAAAACUAUCAGGAUUGAGUACAUUUGAAGCGGGCGGAAUGUGUCAUGUAGCGGUGAAAUGCUUAGAUAUGACACAGAACACCAAUUGCGAAGGCAGCUCGCUAAACUGUAACUGACGCUGAGGCACGAA